rnacentral:rRNA from 1 species
UACCAGCACCCCGAGUGGUCGGGACGAUUAUUGGGCCUAAAGCAUCCGUAGCCGGUCCUGCAAGUCUUCCGUUAAAUCCAGCUGCUCAACAGAUGGGCUGCGGGGGAUACUACAGGGCUAGGAGGCGGGAGAGGCAAGCGGUACUUUAUGGGUAGGGGUAAAAUCCGUUGAUCCAUAGAAGACCACCAGUGGCGAAGGCGGCUUGCCAGACGCGCUCGACGGUGAGGGAUGAAAGCUGGGGGAGCAAACCGG